GUAGUUUCAUCUGGUUAAUUCCGGAUCUGAUGAGUCCAUGAGGACGAAAAACUAA
rnacentral:hammerhead_ribozyme from 25 species